GGUUGGCGGGGUAAGAGCCCACCAAGGCGACGAUCAGUAGCCGGCCUGAGAGGGUGACCGGCCACACUGGAACUGAGACACGGUCCAGACUCCUACGGGAGGCAGCAGUGGGGAAUAUUGCACAAUGGAGGGAACUCUGAUGCAGCGACGCCGCGUGAGUGAAGAAGGUCUUCGGAUCGUAAAACUCUGUCCUUGGUGACGAAAAAAAUGACGGUAGCCAAGGAGGAAGCCCCGGCUAACUACGUGCCAGCAGCCGCGGUAAUACGUAGGGGGCGAGCGUUGUCCGGAUUUACUGGGCGUAAAGGGUGAGUAGGCGGUUAUAUAUGUCAGGUGUAAAAAGCUAUGGCUUAACCAUAGUAAGCACUUGAAACUGUAUGACUUGAGUGCAGGAGAGGUAAGCGGAAUUCCUAGUGUAGCGGUGAAAUGCGUAGAUAUUAGGAGGAACACCGGUGGCGAAGGCGGCUUACUGGACUGUAACUGACGCUGAGUCACGAAAGCGUGGGUAGCAAACAGGAUUAGAUACCCUGGUAGUCCACGCCGUAAACGAUGAGUGCUAGGUGUUGGGUAGCAAUGCUCAGUGCCGAAGUAAACAC
rnacentral:rRNA from 1 species